rnacentral:rRNA from 1 species
UACGUAGGGCGCAAGCGUUGUCCGGAAUUAUUGGGCGUAAAGAGCUCGUAGGCGGUUUGUCGCGUCUGUCGUGAAAGCUUGGGGCUUAACCCCAAGUCUGCGGUGGAUACGGGCAGACUAGAGGCAGGUAGGGGAGAACGGAAUUCCCGGUGUAGCGGUGAAAUGCGCAGAUAUCGGGAGGAACACCGGUGGCGAAGGCGGUUCUCUGGGCCUGUACUGACACUGAGGAGCGAAAGCGUGGGGAGCGAACAGG